UCCGGUUGGUGACUCCAUGUACACACAGAGUGUGGACUCAUAAGUUAUAGGAAACAGUCCCUGAACAGAAAAAGCUGUAACUGGAGAAGACAGCACAAGUGAAAUGGGUGUAACAGAGACAAAGACAGCUGGAUUUAUUUCUAGCUGAGAGAAAUGUUAGUAGGUGACUUUAUGCUGGUCAAACCUGAGAUACUCUGUCUUCCAGGAUGGCCUGUACGUUAGGUACGAGACAUUCCAGGAAAGACACUUUGAAUCCAUGAUACAGACAGUGGACAGAAUACUGAGUCAGCAACUGGAUUACCAAAACGGACUGGAAGAUUACAGGGACAUCUGUAAACCUCACAUAUACACUGAGGAAGGAGAACUAGAACAAAGUGACUCCUGCUCUGUCUCCACUGGCGGUGAGGACUUGCCUGUUAAUUUUUUGAACACUCUUGGACCAAAGUUUUCUGCUCUGGAAGAAAUCUGUGAGAAGCGAUUUCCAUCAUUCAAUUAAUUUCAGAAGGCUGUGCCUACUUUAUGGUGUUGCGAAGACUUUGGCAGAAGCACUGAAAAAUUGGGAGAAAAAGACCCAUCCGCGCUGGAAAGCGCUGCGGUGUCUGCACCACGGGGACCUGCCUUUGACUCUUCCUGCUGCGCUGCUCACACGCAGCCGCCAAGAACCUGAGUGUCCGGAGGGUCCACUCUGCUCUGAAGAGACAAUGGAGUGAUUUUGGCAUAUUCUGUGCAGACUUACACAAAUGGAAGAUCUGAUAUUAAGGAUCCUCACUAUUGUAAACAAAGGCAUAAGAGACAUCUACUAGGCUAGAAAUUCCAGUCCAAGUUCCAUAUGGAAAUAUGGCAGCUGUGAACGGAGAAGGCAAUUACCAGCCAGGCUGGUGAUGCAGUCUGUUCUGGUCCCUUUAAAUCCAAGACUAACUUCAAUACGGUACCAUGCGGGUCUGACUUGCUGAUCAGAUCUUUUACUCCGAUAUGACAUUGAAAUAUCUAAGAGGAAAUGCUCUUCUACUCCUAGUGUGACUGUAACUGCAUCGCAACCUGAGGUCUGCACCGUACUGGCCUUCUAGCAUAAAGCAGGCACUUACUCAGUGCCCAUUUGCUUAUGCUGGCAUCUGGUGGCUCUUAGUAUUAUUACACUGUUGUAAAUACUGUAAAUGCUACCAAGUGUGUGCAGUUGACUUCUGCUCAGUUAUAGCUUGAUGGCUGUCGGUGUUAAAAUGAGGGAAGAAUAGCUCAGAAGAUCCUGUUCUGCUAUUAGGUAAGUGAUACAGAUAAUAAGAGAUGGAAUUAGUCCCAGAUUUUACUUCUGUUCUUUUACAGUUUUGUCCUGAAAGAAACAUUCUUUGCCCAGGGCAAGCACUAAGUCUGGUAGCUAAGGCACUGUUCUUCUGUUUCAAAGUUUUCUUAAAGAAUAAAUUAUGCUUUUGCUCAGAUGUUAUUAACUAA
rnacentral:lncRNA from 1 species